CUUGGGAAAUACGAACAAUCCUGGACUCUGCCUCAUCACUUGUCUGAUCACAAACUACGCCUGCUACGAGGCACACACAUAGAAGCAACCUCCGCAUCGUGAUGACAUGCAAUAACUGAGCACUUAAUAAACAAUCAGUGUUCGCUUAAGUACAAGGUAGAUAAAAAUAUAAAAGGAAGAUAAUAUAUAUACGGGCGAUAACCUCGCCCGGGCUACUGGUUUCAGAUGUCGGGAAACCAGUGCGGAAUGCUAGGUAAAAAUGAAUUCACUUUAGUUAAUUAGGGCACAAAUAAUAUAAUACUAUAUUGUUAGGGGGAAAGGGAUUGUAAAUAAUGGGGUCUAACUUCCUCAUUGAUAGCAAUAUCAGAUCGACCUCCACGCGGUUCCCCCUGAAAAACAUCGUAGUUAAUUUUAGUAGAAUUUUUCAAAUACUAGUAAAAUGUAUUUUAUAAUUGUAAACUUUUUUUUUCUUGUUUAUUCUAUGGUUCGAAAAAAAUUUCAUCUCGAGUCUAAUACCAAUACUAGCGUCUGUGACGAACAUGCUUGUUGUUUACUUCGGUAACAUAUUAAUUUUAUCCCAUCCUGCGGUCUCCUGAUAAUAAAGUAAUUUUUUUUUGUUUAAAUGUGAUUUCUAUUAUGUUUUUCUAUUAUAUAUAUUAUGUUUAUCAUAUGCACCUAUAUUACUCGUACCUAUGAAAUAUUAUUUGUAAU